GUUUCCUACUGCCUAGCAAGACAUAUACUAAAAUUGGAACAAUAGAGAAGAUUAGCAUGUCCCCUGCGCAAGGAUGACAUGCAAAUUCGUGAAGACCUACCAGACCUG